rnacentral:rRNA from 1 species
AGCUCCAAUAGCGUAUAUUAAAGUUGUUGCAGUUAAAAAGCUCGUAGUUGGAUUUCUGUUUUUUGAGGGUGGUCCGCCGAAAGGCGAGCACUGCUACUCGAUUGACAUCCUCUCAAAGGCGUGAGGUGCACUUAAUUGUGUGUCGCAUGAAUUUGGGACCUUUACUUUGAAAAAAUUAGAGUGUUCAAAGCAGGCUAUUUGCUUGAAUAUAUUAGCAUGGAAUAAUGGAAUAGGACUUUGGUUCUAUUUUGUUGGUUUCUAGGACUGAAGUAAUGAUUAAUAGGGACAGUUGGGGGCAUUAGUAUUUAAUUGUCAGAGGUGAAAUUCUUGGAUUUAUGAAAGACUAACUACUGCGAAAGCAUUUGCCAAGGAUGUUUUCA